rnacentral:rRNA from 1 species
GCAAAACGAACCGUCUACUUAUACGCGGGGCCCUUCCUGGAUCCGCGUGGAAGCCGAUCGAGAACCACACGCGCGCGCGCGGAGCACGCAGAUCCCUCCCUCCCAUUUCUGGACGGAAGAUUCCUUGCGGCCUAGGUGGAUAUGGUGGCGAGCGAGGGCCAGAGCCUGGCGGAGACGGCCGCGGCAUCGGCGGUGGCGGCGGCGGCGCCGGCGGGGCUCCCGAAGGAGGCGCGGGGGCUGCUGCACGAGCUGGCGGCGGAGUGGGCGGACGUGGCCGACUGCCGCGCGCUGGAGGUGGUGCCGCUCAAGGGCGCCAUGACUAACGAGGUGUACCAGGUGCGCUGGCUCACCGGCGGCGGCGCGGGCGGCGGCGAGGAGAAGGGGGAGGGCGAGUACCGGAAGGUGCUGAUGCGGGUGUACGGCGAGGGCGUGGAGGUCUUCUUCGACCGGGAGGACGAGGUGCGCACGUUCGAGUGCAUGUCCCGCCACGGCCACGGCCCGCGCCUCCUCGGCCGCUUCCCCACCGGCCGCGUCGAGGAGUUCAUCCACGCCAGGGUGCGCCUUCCCUCCAUCCAUCGCUCUCAUUAUUUCCCCCUUUUUUUUUCUUUAAUUUCUUCUGUACGUCUCGUUCCGUUUCUUGUCCCGUUCGAUCGAUCCUGCCGUCCUCUCCGAGGACCGCUCUCGUUUCUCACGCCCUCCGCUCUUUUCAGAGGAAAACGUCCUCCGUUAUUUGCCAGGCUAACAACCUUUCCUGAUUCCUUUCCCAAAGGAAGCUUUAUUUACGUAUUUGGAGGGAUAAGGACGAAGAAAUCUGUUCUGUUAUUACACCAUUUAGCCCCCCUGAUAUAAUGUCAUCAUGCACAGUAUCAGAUAGCGACGAAUUGUUUACUGUAUUGACUAUUGAGGUGCCAUAAUUCUUCAUCCACCGACGGUGUGGAUUGUAUUAUUGCCUGCAAUUUCAAUCGUUUGACCCUUAGAAACUUAUCCAAGAUGUUCUUCAAGUCGUCGGUGAAUGGCCAAUUCAAUACGGGUUAACAUUGUUUAUGUUAUCUCGUUGUUGACUAAAUUGCAUAUCACUGUACAUGCGUGCUGUGCUUUUUAAUUGCCUUUUUUCUAGCUUAUGAGAGACUUGUGGCAGAAAUCGUAUGACUUGUAAAUAUGUACUUGCUCUUAACUUAUCAGGCUACUUUGGUUGUUGUCAUCGUUUGACAUUUCUGCUCCUUCCAAGAUUUUUAUGCUGUAUUAUUUCCAUGCUGUUGUCAUUAUUGGAUAUAUACUUAUGCUGCUUCAAGAUAUCUAAUUCAACGCUUCAAAUUUCUCAUUAUUGGACACUUCUGAUCCUUGACGAUAUUAUCUAGUAGUUGUAUUAUUUCCGUGCUGUUGCCAUCAUUGGACACUUCUGCUUCUUGAAGAUAAUAUCGAACAGUUGUAUUAUUUCCGUGCUAUUGCCAUCAUUGGACACUUCUGAUUCUUGAAGAUAUUAUCUACUACCUCCGUUCCUAGAUAUACGACGUUUUGACAGUAGAAUUGAACUGCCAAAACAUCAUAUAUUUAGGAACGGAGGUAGUAGUAGAUGUAUUAUUUCUGUGGUGUUAUUAUCGGAAAUUUCUGCUUCUUGAGGAUAUCUAAUAGCUGUACUGUAAUCUGUUUUCUAAUUCAACACUUCAAAUUUAUCAUAUUCCGAUGUACUGUGUAUUGUAGAGGGUCAUUUUAGUUUAUAUAAUUAGCUAUGUACCAGCUGAAUUACUUGACAUGACUAAGUCAAAAUGUUCAACUGAAAAUAUCUUCUGAAUAAAUGAGGGACAAGAAGAUGAUUGACUUGGACUAAGCAGGAUAGACGAGUACUGUGACAUGACAUGGAGGGAAUCAUCUUCAAAAUAAAGUACCUUAGAAGGGGGAGAUUAGUUUAGAAGGAAUACUUAGGGUGGGAAUAUCACUCUUUAUUCACCAUUAGUUCCCAUCAUUUUUCAACGGAAUCAUAUUCCGCUUCCUUUAUUUCUUUUAAAUGAAACAGAAACGUGCAGGAUAUAUGUUGCAUUAAGACACCAGAUUUGCUUUGACAGGAGAUAUGUUAGCAGAAUGAAGAAAUAUACAGAAAAAACUGAUGAAAAUAUUCCUGUCAGACACUUUCAGCUGUUGACCUGCGUGAUCCAGAGAUUUCAGCUAUUAUAGCAUCCAAAUUGAGGGAGUUCCACCACCUUGACAUGCCAGGUCCAAAACGUGUCCUCAUGUGGGAUAGAUUGAGGAACUGGCUCAAAACUGCCAAGAGCGUCUGCCCCUCUGACGAAGCCAAAGAGUUCCGUUUGGAUAGCCUGGAGAAGGAGAUCAAUGCAUUGGAGAGUGAAUUUUCGGGGGAAGACCAGUGCAUAGGAUUUUGCCACAAUGAUCUCCAGUAUGGCAAUAUCAUGAUUGAUGAAGAGACCAAAGCACUGACCAUCAUUGACUACGAGUAUGCAAGCUUUAACCCAAUUGCUUUUGAUAUCGCAAACCAUUUCUGCGAGAUGGCUGCGGACUACCAUUCAGAAGAGCCUCACGUACUGGACUACACAAAAUAUCCAGAUGUCGAUGAGCGGAAGAGGUUUGUGCAGACCUACCUGAGCUCUUCAGGUGAGGAGCCUGACGCAGAAAAGAUCAAGGAUCUGAUGAAUAACAUUGAGAAGUACACACUCGCCAGCCAUCUCGUCUGGGGCCUCUGGGGAAUAAUUUCGGAACACGUCAACGAUAUCGACUUCGACUACAUGGAGUAUGCGCGGCAGAGGCUUGCGCAAUACUGGCUGAAGAAACCCGAGAUUCUAUCCUGCCGUGUUGAUGAUGAAUGAACCCCCAGCAAUGAUCAGGUGGUGUCUUUUCUGAUGGCCACUGGCUUCUGCACAUAGUACAGCUUGCGAUGCUCCUGGCGCGUCGAUGAGCUUGCCUAGGGUACAGAGUUUAGGUGAAGGUGGGGUGUGCUGGCUUUUUAGUAGUUCCCUUGCUCAUAAUCAGUCAGAAGGUGCUUGUAGUAAGGUGAUGUGAUCACUUCUGUGUUGUGUGUUUUCAGUAACAGUGGCUAGUUACUUGCGUGUGUUCAGGUGUACAUAUUUUGCAGUUUGGGAGUGUGGCUGAUGCUAUCAGGAGUAAUAAAAGAAUGUAAAUAUUUGCGUCGAAUAAAACAGGGAUACAGAAGGAAAAUCAUUAACAAAUCCUGCUUUGAACAUUUAACUG